UUGUCAUCUUCCACUGUUCAUCUUCACCGAAAAUUCAAGGAGAAGAAAGCCAUUGUUGGCUUUAACAUUCGGCCAUGUUAAAUUAAAAUAAAACAAAAUGUAUUGUCAUCUUCCACUAUUCAUCUUCACCGAAAAUUCAAGAAGAAAGACAUUGAUGGCUUUAACAUUCGGCCAAGCUCUCAUUGCUCAAAUAGAUCAAGAAAAGAGGAGAUCGGAUUUGGAUCGAGGAAAACUAAAAAAUUUUUGUAUAGUCGUCCGGUUUGUUUGUGUUCGUACGAGGUAAGUGAAUAAGUGAAUAAUUGUUGUUAAAUUCAUAUGAAAAUGUAUUUAAUUGUGCCGAGUUGAAUUUUAGUAACUAUAUAUGUGUAUGUUGAAUUAAUAUAAGUACAGGAGAAGUAACUACGAGCUUGAAACGAAUGAAUUACGUCCGAAAGCCUCGUACGAACCAUAGGAAUAGUUAGGAUACACAUGUCAUUACAUAGGAUUCCGAUAUGAGUUAUCGUGUAAGACCACGUCUAGGACAUUGGCGUCGAUUUGAGAUUUUACAUGUAAGACCAUGUCUGAGACAUCGACAUCGUAUACGAUUUCGUGUAAGACCCUGUCUGGGACAGUGGCAUCGAUAUUUGAUUACAUGUAAGGCUACAUCUAGGACAUUGGCAUUGUAAAAGCUUCCGAGCUAUCCGAGUAUCCUUAUUGAUUUCGAACGGUUCAACGGACAAUAUCGAGAAAUCAAUGACUAUGUGAAAGUAUAUCCGAUUCAGGUACGUACGAAGUGUAUAUGAUAUUCAAGAAUGAAAAGUGAGUAUGUUUCAAAUGACGAUAUGUGAAAUACAUGACAAUGAACGAAAUAAAUGUAUAUAAAUGAACGUUGUGAUAUAUAUGCUCGUUAUAUGAAAUUGUAAUGAAAUAAGCUUAAUUAUAUUCAAGAGUUCGAGUACCAUGAAAUCGUGGUCCUAUGUUUCGAACAUGGGAUCUAUGAAAUAUGAAACAUGGUUUUGAGGUAUGCUAGUUUGGUUUAAAAGAUGAUUAGAUAAAUGUUAUUGAUAAGGUUAAAUUAUUAAAUAUGUUAUGUAUAUGAGAAAGAGUUAAAUAAGCAUGUUUUGAUUUGUUGGUUAUGUGUUUUGUAUGACCGAAUGUGAUAUAUAUUUGAAUGAGAAGUAUAUGUGGUUCGAACAGUGGAAUUAUGAAGCAUGUGUAAUAUAAUUGUCAUCACUGAAUUUUGUCCGGUCUGUAGUUCGUGUUUUGUUUUGUUUUAUUUUAUUUUAUUUUAUAUAUAUGUAUUUUUUUUAUUAUGAUUUUUCUGGCAUUGGCCUCAUAUGGGCCUAAUGAUUGGGUCCAAUGGUUGGGCCUGUGGGGUUUGGGUAAUUGGGUUUUAAGUAAUUAGAUUUUAAGCUUGUUUGGGCUUUAGCCCAUUUUUAUUUUUAUUUUUAUUUUUAUUUUUAUUUUUUCUUAUUAUUAUUAUUAUUUGUUUGUUUUCAUAAUAAUUUUAAGUAUUAAUUAAAUAGUAAUAUUAAAAUUUUGAAAAAUACAAAAAAUAUAAAUUAUAUUUUUGCCCCUAAACUUUUCCAAAUUUACAUUUUAACCCCCUAACAUUUUCUAAAUUUGCAUCUCGACCCCUAAUAUUUUGUAAAUUAUAUUCGGGCCCCUAAACUUUCUAAAAAUUACAUUUUGGCCUCAUAUUUUCCUAAAAUUACAUUUUUACCCUAAAUAUUUUGUGUCUUUUACAUUUUGGUCCUUCUGGACUUGUCAAAUCAGCCAAUCGGUAGCCGAGCAUGCUCCUCCCACCUCCAGCUACUCCAGCAGCCUCCCUAGGCCAUGAUUGCUCCACUGCCACCUGAAAACAAAGAGGAAGAAGACAAAAUGAAAGGAUUUAAAAGAAAAGAUUGAAGGGAAAGGGGGGGUUCAGUUUUUUCACAAAAAAAAGCAAAAAAAAUCAAGAAAACAGCAGCGAAAUGUCUCUCACCACCGUCGCGCCACCACGACCACCGUGACCACCGCCGUGCCUUUGCUUUCCCUCCACCGCCAACACCUACAACACCAUCAAGCAAAGUCACAAACACUAAAAACAGCAAGUAAAAAGAAAAAAAAUAGCAACCAAAUAAAGAAAAGAGAAGAGAAGAAAAUGAAGAGAGGAAGAGGAGAACCCUUCCAUAGCCACCGAGGGCGGAGGAGAUCGGCACAAGAGACGGCGGCGGCUUGGGGCUAGGGUACGGCCCGAAGAAGAAGAAGAAAAAGAAAAAGAAAGAAGGAAAAAGAGAGAAGAAAAGGAAAAAUAAAAAAAUAUAUCACAGUCGGGUCAACCCGACCCGACCGAAUCGACCUGACCCACAAAAUUGACCCGACCCACCAACCUAGCAGGCCAAGCAGUAGCAAAGAGCAGCCCCCCAAAAAAAAGCAGCAAAGCAACAAAAAAAAAGAAGGAUCAAAACAAAAAAAUUGAAGCAGGCCACAGCAGGCCUGUCCAGCAAGCAGCAGAUCCAGCAGGCCAGCCAGCAGGCCCAGAUUCGGCAGUAGCCCGGCAGACCCAGUUCGCCCUACAGCUCAGCAGUGUAGCGGCCCAGACCAGUGCAGCCCAACAGCAGUGAACUGGGCCCAAUUCGCAGCAGGCCCAAAAAAAGAGGAAGAAAAAGGGAAAAGGCCCAAAAUUCAAGCCCAUAACUUUGGGCUUUUGAGUUUCAGAGACUUUCUCAAGUUGGAAGUCAUAGGAGACCUCAUCACACUAUCCGGUUAUCGCUUCGGUAAAUAUAAGCUUUGAGUUUUUGGUUAUGUGGCAUGUAUAGGCUAGUUUUGAUAUGUUUGGUUUUGAAAUUUGUAUAUAUGUAUAUAGCCAUGCGAAAAUGGCUUGAUCAUGAUACUAAUGUUGAUAUAUAUACAUAUAUAUAUCCGAUCAUGUUAUAAGCUUAAUUUGGAGGUAUGUUUCAUGUUAAGUAUAUUUGUGAUGUUAGUUAUAAGAUUCGACAAUGAAAAGUGUUAA